GAAGUAAGCCUCAAACAGUAACUCAAGGUGUUCCAAAGAAAGCUGAAUGUCGUACAGGUCCAUAGCCACAGAUUCUUCAGUAAGUAAAGAGUGUAUAUAAAGAGAGAAUAAAAAGAGAUAAUCUAUUAGAGAUGAAAAGAUUCACAAGACAUAUCAGUCAAAUGUAAUAUUUGGACCUCAUCUGAUUCCUGUUCCAAAAACCAAAUAUUAAAAGCCAUUUUAAAGACAAUCAGGGAAGUCUGAAUAUAGGCUUGUCAUUAAAUCAUAAUUCGGAAAUAUUUAUUUAGGUAUGAUAAUAUUGCAGUUCUCUUUUUUAUGAAGUCUCUAUUUAUUAAAAAUAUACUAAGAAGUAUUUAUGCAUGAAGUGAUAUAAAAUCUAGGAUUUAAAUACUCCAGCAAGGUAGAGGGGAAAUACUCCUGAGGGGAGAAUUCUUUCUCCAUUCAUGCACCUGUCAUACUCUCCCACAGUGGUUCUCAAACAGAGGCAAUUUUGCCUCUAGGAAAUAAUUGGAUGUCAACCUAGUGUCUAGGUUGAGGAACUCUGCUCUACUGUAAUUGUUUACUGUUCAACCAAAGCUGGAGAGUCACAGUCCCCUACAUCUAAUGAAAACAUUUGAUUUCCAAUAAAUUAAAGUGAUCAGGAGUCCCUGCAUCUAUCCAUCUACCACAAAGACCACAGACAUUCACUUCUACCAAGACACCCCGCACCUUCCAUAAGGAAGGAGAGAUGCCAAAUGCCCCCUUUCCACACAACUUUGGACAGGAAAAAUGAGCCUGCGUCAGGACACGGACACAAUUUCUCAUGUUAUUUUUCUGAGGGUUGUUAUCCAUCUCUCAGGGUUGUAGAAGGAAUGAACACUUAAUUGAAAUUUUUAACCCUAACACUCAUAAAACAUCAUAUGCUCUUGAAAAGGAUUAUGGAAAUUCGCAGAUAGAAUUAUGUGAGCCAUUUCAAGAGUAGUCUUCAUAGCUUGAAUUCCUUAAACACAGUACUUUGGGAUGAAGUUAGCCAAAUACAGAGAAACAAAACAGUUUUCAAGUUUUAUUCUGGGUUAUUUUUAACUCCUUUUUUUUUUUAAGAAAAGCAACAGAAUUUGGAAAUGAGUUGGUGGUGAGCAGAAAACUACUCCUUUCAAUGACCUCUUCUUCAGCUAAUCUUAUCAAAGGUCUAAUAUCCUUUUAAUGUUUAUAAGUAAAUGACCACUCAGAUAAACUGCAUUACCUUUCCCAAAACUAUGGACAUUUACACUGAAAAUUUUUUAAAAAGCAUAUUUGAAACACCAAAAAACAUGUAGCUCAUUUUAAUCAGGGAUGCUAUCAAAUGUUUGCAUUUAACUCCUGAGUAUAGUUUUUUCCUCUUAGAAAAAAAACUAUAACUACUUCAGGAUAUUCCUUACUAGUAUUAUAAUCACAAAAGCCAAAAGGUAAAAAAGAAAGCAACAAACCAAAUCUGCAAAAAGAAGAGCAAUUUAUUCAAAAGCGAGUAUCCUGAAGAAUAUAAGUGAGACGUUUUCAUCACAUUAAAUGUUGAUACAUAAUAUACCAUAGGCCAUUGCAAAAGGAAUGAAAACAAACAUCUAAUAAACUCUCAGGAUACCUAUCGA
rnacentral:lncRNA from 10 species